GCCAGGUGCGGUGGCUCGCACCUGUAAUCCCAGCACUUUGGGAGGCUGAGGUGGGUGGAUCACCUGAGGUCAGGAGUUCGAGACCAGCCUGGCCAACAUGGUGAAACCCUGUCUCUA
ensembl:misc_RNA Metazoa_SRP Metazoan signal recognition particle RNA